CCUACGGGCGGCAGCAGUGGGGAAUAUUGCGCAAUGGGCGAAAGCCUGACGCAGCGACGCCGCGUGAGGGAUGAAGGUCUUCGGAUCGUAAACCUCUGUCAGCAGGGAAGCACGGUCACUGUGCUAAUCGGCAGUGAAUUGACGGUACCUGCAAGGGAAGCACCGGCUAACUCCGUGCCAGCCGCCGCGGUAAUACGGAGGGUGCGAGCGUUAAUCGGAAUUACUGGGCGUAAAGCGCUCGUAGGCGGUCUGUCAAGUCAAGGGUGAAAUCCCCGCGCUCAACGUGGGAACUGCCUUUGAAACUGGCAAACUGGAGUGUGUGAGAGGAUAGUGGAAUUCCAGGUGUAGGAGUGAAAUCCGUAGAUAUCGGGAGGAACAUCAGUGGCGAAGGCGACUAUCUGGCACAUAACUGACGCUGAGGAGCGAAAGCGUGGGUAGCAAACAGGAUUAGAUACCCUUGUAGUC
rnacentral:rRNA from 1 species